rnacentral:rRNA from 1 species
AUUGAACGCUGGCGGCAUGCUUUACACAUGCAAGUCGAGCGGCAGCGGGAAAGUAGCUUGCUACUUUUGCCGGCGAGCGGCGGACGGGUGAGUAAUGCCUGGGAAAUUGCCCAGUCGAGGGGGAUAACAGUUGGAAACGACUGCUAAUACCGCAUACGCCCUACGGGGGAAAGCAGGGGACCUUCGGGCCUUGCGCGAUUGGAUAUGCCCAGGUGGGAUUAGCUAGUUGGUGAGGUAAUGGCUCACCAAGGCGACGAUCCCUAGCUGGUCUGAGAGGAUGAUCAGCCACACUGGAACUGAGACACGGUCCAGACUCCUACGGGAGGCAGCAGUAGGGAAUAUUGCACAAUGGGGGAAGCCCUGAUGCAGCCAUGCCGCGUGUGUGAAGCAGGCCUUCGGGUUGUAAAGCACUUUCAGCGAGGAGGAAAGGUUGAUGCCUAAUACGUAUCAACUGUGACGUUACUCGCAGAAGAAGCACCGGCUAACUCCGUGCCAGCCGCCGCAGUAAAAC